GGGAAGCAAUUAUUGUCUCUUAAGAGCUGUUUUCACCUCUCUUUAGAGACUUAUUAUUUGUUGAGGUACUGAAAGUGAAUCAAACGUUGUCCAUCUUAUCUCGAAGUCUAAGUAUAAAAAAUGGUAAUGGAUUUCAAAGAAUUCUUCACUGAAUAUGGUGAGGCUCAUCAAUAUGAAAUCCAAGAGGUCGUUGGCAAGGGAAGCUAUGGUGUUGUUGCAGCAGCAAUUGAUACUCAUACUGGAGAGAAGGUAGCAAUAAAGAAGAUCAAAGAUGUUUUUGAGCACAGCUGUGAAGCCACCCGCAUCCUGAGAGAAAUAAAGCUCCUUCGGUUGCUUCGGCACCCAGAUAUUGUAGAAAUAAAGCAUAUACUGUUGCCUCCAUGUCCAAGGGAAUUCAAGGAUAUUUAUGUUGUUUUCGAGUUGAUGGAAUGUGACCUUCAGCAUGUAAUUAAAGCAAAUGACAGUCUCACUGCUGAACAUUAUCAAUUCUUUAUGUAUCAGCUUCUUCGUGGUUUAAAAUAUAUGCAUACAGCAAACGUGUUCCAUCGGGAUUUGAAGCCAAAGAACAUUCUAGCAAAUGCAGAUUGCAAGCUGAAAAUUUGUGAUUUUGGGCUUGCUCGGGUAUCACUUGGCGAUAACCCAUCUGCUGUUUUCUGGACUGACUACGUGGCAACUCGCUGGUACCGUGCUCCAGAACUCUGUGGUUCCUUUUUUUCCAAAUAUACCCCAGCAGUUGAUAUCUGGAGUCUAGGGUGUAUAUUUGCAGAAAUGCUCACAGGAAAACCAUUAUUUCCGGGGAAAAAUGCGGUUCACCAAUUGGAUCUCAUAACUGAUUUGCUUGGUACACCGUCCACUGAAGCCAUUUCAAGGAUUAAAAAUGAAAAAGCAAGGAGAUAUUUAAGCAGCAUGAAGAAGAAAGCACCUAUCCCUCUCUCACAGCAAUUCCCACACGUUGAUCCACUAGCUCUAAGAUUACUUGAGCGGUUGAUUGCAUUUGAUCCCAAAGAUCGCCCUUCUGCUGAAGAGGCGCUAGCACAUCCAUAUUUCCGUGGUUUGGCCAACAAGGAACAGGAACCAUCAUCUCAGACCAUCUCAAAAUUCGAAUUCGACUUUGAACGAAGAAAACUUGGGAAAGAGGAUAUUAGGGAGCUCAUCUACCGAGAGAUUCUGGAAUAUCACCCUCAAAUGCUGCAGGAGCAUCUUCAUGGCACUGAUCACACUCACUUUAUGUAUCCAAGUGGGGUUGAUUGCUUCAAACAACAAUUUGACCAUCUCGAGGGGCAAAGUGGUAGAGGUGGAAGUACUCUCUUUCCAAGACGAUAUGCUUCUUUGCCCAGAGAACGAGUCUGUGCUUCCACAGAGGAGGAAGCUGAUAAGGAUGGUGAAUUUGAAAGGCAUGUUGUAGCUUCUAUGGCUCAGAGAUGCCUUCCAAGCCCCCCGAGUUCCCCCAAGGUCAAGAAACCGGAUAUUGCUAAUACAGUUGAAGGUCCUAAUGAGGCUGUCCAUAGUACACCAACGAAUACUGAACGCUGCAUGCUAAGAAGUUCUAGUAUUAGUUUUUCCAAAUGUGUUGGGGCCAUAUGGGACUGCGAGGAUACAACCUGCAAGCCAUAUCAAAACGGGAUUAAUAAAUCAUCGAAGACAGCUUUAUAUGCUUGAACAUUUUAAUUCUGGAUGGAUAAG
rnacentral:misc_RNA from 1 species